rnacentral:rRNA from 1 species
CUUGGUCAUUUAGAGGAAGUAAAAGUCGUAACAAGGUCUCCGUAGGUGAACCUGCGGAGGGAUCAUUAUUGAGUGGUCUUUGACCUUCUACCCCUCAAACCUGUGGGAGCUAAAAACGUGCUUCGGGGCCCUUUUUGGGCGCCGCUUUUAUGCAUAAAUCCGUGUGUCGUCUGAAUCAUACACAAGAAUCAAAACUUUCAACAAAGGAUCUCUUGGCUCUCGCAUCGAUGAAGAACGCAGCGAAGCGCGAAAUGUAGUGUGAAUCGCAGAACAUUGUGAAUCAUCGAAUCUUUGAACGCACAUUGCGCCUCCCUUAACAGGGAGGCAUGCCUGUCUGAGUCUCAUUUAAUCUAUAAACCCGAUUGGGUUUGUGCCUGGGCGUUCGCUUGACCGGCGUCGCCUCAAAGUCAUCUGUCUUAUGAGCGGACGAGAUCCUUUUGGACUGACCGUUUGUGGGACCCUAAAUCUCUGAUUUGAGCUCAGAUCAGGUAGGACUACCGCCUGAACUUAAGCAUAUCAAUAAGCGGAGGA